rnacentral:rRNA from 1 species
AUUGAACGCUGGCGGCAGGCCUAACACAUGCAAGUCGAACGAGUGGCGGACGGGUGAGUAAUGUCUGGGAAACUGCCCGAUGGAGGUGGGUAACUAAUGGAAACGGUAGCUAAUACCGCAUACCAUCGGAUGUGCCCAGAGGGGAUUAGCUUGGAGGUGAGGUAACGGCUCACCUAGGCGACGAUCCCUAGCUGGUCUGAGAGGAUGACCAGCCACACUGGAAGUGAGACACGGUCCAGACUCCUACGGGAGGCAGCAGGGGGGAAGAUUGCAAAAUGGGCGCAAUCCUGAUGAAGCCAUGCCGCGUGUAUGAAGAAGGUCUUCGGGUUGUAAAGUACUUUCAGCGGGGAGGCGUUACCCGCAGAAGAAGCACCGGCUAACUCCGUGCCAGCAGCCGCGGUAAUAC